CUGUAUUUCACCCCAGCCCGUUCUCACCCCCGGGGCGUAGCAUACCGAUGUUUUGUCAUGACCCGUGGCGUUCCUGAGGAACGCGAAAGGUGUCCUUCCGCGUUGUUAUGGUCCGCGCCGGGUUAUGGCUGACUUCCAGUGGAAUGACGGUCCCGCAGUGAUAGAUGUUCCAGCAUUUAUGAAAUGCAUUAUGUGGUUUUUUUUAAUACUAAAACCAACUUUUGGCUUAACAAGCUUAAAAGUUAAAAUGUCUUCAAAGUCUGCCUCUUGUUAACACAGGAAACUGAGCAACAGGCCAGGUUUUUACUUAUCCCUCUUUACAAAAUCCUGUUUGACAUUUUCUAAGAACAAAAGUAUAUUUCUUGGAGAACAGUACUUUAAGUGAGGCACUUAUCUUUAAGCUUUGUUCCAUGUUGGAAUGGAUCAGAAAUGAACAUAAAGGCUCUAGAGACACACUGCAGACUCAGUCCAGCAAAGCACAGCUCUUUAAAGUGGCUGUCCUGCACUUCCACCCUGCUCUAAGCUUCCCUGUGAGUCACCUGAACGCUUCUAUUUAUCACUGUCUUGCUGUUGCAGCAAAGUCAUUCCUCAGGAGGACAAGAGGAUAUGUGAAAAAUGCUUUUUGAAAUUUGGGAAAGCAGUUGGCUGCUGUCUCACCUUACCUUUUGUAUGUGUGUGUUUCUGAGUGGAUCCUGAGCAGCAAAUCGAACUGUGAUUCUUGUUUCUCUACAAUGUCAACAUGCCAUUUGUCCUCACAUGAUGCAAACUGCGUGUCGUCCAAUGGCUUUGGCUGCCUAUUUUUAAAACUGGAAAUACUAGUGUUUUACAAUUCAUCAACUGGAGUUGGUCCACUACUGACAUAAAAAAAAACAAAAACAAAAAAACAGGCAAUUCAAAUAUAUAUUUAAAUUCUGUGUCACAUGGCAGGUGGAACCAAAGAUCUAAUUUGAACUAAUCAGACCAAAGCACAGAUUUCCACUGGUCUAAUGUCCAGUCCUUGUGUUUCUUGGCCCAAACAAAUCUCUUCUGCUUGUUGCUUUUCCUUAGUAGUGGCUUUUUAGCAGCCAUUUGACCAUAAAGGCCUUAUUCGCACAGUCUCCUCUGAACAGUUGAUGUAGAGAUGUGUCUGCUAGUGGAACUGUGUGUCAAUUUUCUGGGCUCUAAUCUGAGGUGCUGUUAACUUGUGACUCGGAUGAAUUUAUCCUCAGCAGCAGAGGUGACUCUUGGGCUUCCUUUCAUGAGGCGGUCCUCAUGUGAGCCAAUUUUGUCAAAGCACUUGAUGGUUUUUGCGACUGCGCUUGUGUCCUGUUUCUCUUCCAGUAUUACUCCAUCUCCAGCCAUGGAUGGUGGAGUUGCUGCAAUUAAAGUUCAGCACAAUGUGCUACCCUGCCACAUCUGUGAAUUGAUAAGUUUAAUUUCCAUCAGUCUUUGCGGCAUCCUUUCAUUCCUAACACAUUUCGC
ensembl:lncRNA